rfam:Dethiosulfatarculus sandiegensis strain SPR contig_21, whole genome shotgun sequence.
GAAAAGGCCUUUUUAAAGGCCAAAAAUAUCGCGGACGUAAAGUUCU